CAAUAGCGUAUAUUAAAGUUGUUGCGGUUAAAAAGCUCGUAGUUGGAUUUCUGCCGAGGACGACCGGUCCGCCCUCUGGGUGUGUAUCUGGUUUGGCCUGGGCAUCUUCUUGGAGAACGUAGCUGCACUUGACUGUGUGGUGCGGUGUCCAGGACUUUUACUUUGAGGAAAUUAGAGUGUUUCAAGCAGGCACACGCCUUGAAUACAUUAGCAUGGAAUAAUAAGAUAGGACCUCGGUUCUAUUUUGUUGGUUUCUAGAGCUGAGGUAAUGAUUAAUAGGGAUAGUUGGGGGCAUUCGUAUUUAACUGUCAGAGGUGAAAUUCUUGGAUUUUUUAAAGACGAACAAGUGCGAAGGCAUCUACCCAGGAUGUUUUUGUUGA
rnacentral:rRNA from 1 species